UACAUGGGGUGCAAACGUUGCUCGGAAUUAUUUGGGCGUAAAGCGCGCGUAGGCGGUUACUCAAGUCGGAUGUGAAAGCCCUCGGCUUAACUGAGGAAGUGCACCCGAAACUGGAGUAGCUAGAGUACCAAAGAGGGUCGCGGAAUUCCCGGUGUAGAGGUGAAAUUCGUAGAUAUCGGGAGGAACACCGGUGGCGAAGGCGGCGACCUGGGUGGAUACUGACGCUGAGGCGCGAAAGCGUGGGGAGCAACAGG
rnacentral:rRNA from 1 species